UGCCAGCCGCCGCGGUAAUACGUAGGUCACAAACGUUGUCCGGAUUUAUUGGGCGUAAAGGGUCCGUAGGCGGUUCGGUAAGUCUCCUGUGAAAUCUUCAGGCUCAACUUGAAGAGGUCGGGGGAUACUGCCGGACUUGAGACUGUUAGAGGCAAGUGGAAUUCCCGGUGUAGUGGUGAAAUGCGUAAAUAUCGGGAGGAACACCAGUGGCGAAAGCGGCUUGCUGGGACAGUUCUGACGCUGAGGGACGAAAGCGUGGGUAGCAAACCGGAUUCGAUA
rnacentral:rRNA from 1 species